CUACUACCUGCUCCGCUCCCCCUUCUAUGACCGAUACUCUGAGACGAAGAUCCUCUUCCUCCUCCGCUUUUUGGCAGAUUACGUUCCCGGAGUUGGUUUGGUGGCGCGUCCUCUGAUGGAGUACUUGCCCAUUUGGCAGAAGAUCUACUUUUACAACUGGGGCUGACGUCGAAGUGAAUCUUUCACAGGUCAACAGCGCCAAAAAAAUGUUAGUUUAAGGAAAGCCAUUUUGGGGAUACUACAGCUACAAGAGGAUUCGAAUCACACCUGUGCCAGAACAUCUCCACGAUUAUUGAGUAACAGAAAAUCUGGAUAAUGAUUUUCCGAUUGCUGCUUUUCUCUUUUAGCUUUCGUGUAAUUUUAUGCAUCUGAGCCACCAUUUUUUGCGCAUAUUAUAAACACCUGUUAUUAAGUGGCUUGGCCAAACUUCAAGCUACUACACACAUGUAAUAUAUCCCUCAAUAUGAAUGCCUUCAUUUUAAUUUAGAUGUACAUUUAUAGGGAAUAGUUUUUAUUAAACAAUAAUAAUUGA